UAGGGAAUCUUCGGCAAUGGACGAAAGUCUGACCGAGCAACGCCGCGUGAGUGAAGAAGGUUUUCGGAUCGUAAAACUCUGUUGUUAGAGAAGAACAAGGACGUUAGUAACUGAACGUCCCCUGACGGUAUCUAACCAGAAAGCCACGGCUAACUACGUGCGAGCAGCCGCGGUAAUACGUAGGUGGCAAGCGUUGUCCGGAUUUAUUGGGCGUAAAGCGAGCGCAGGCGGUUUCUUAAGUCUGAUGUGAAAGCCCCCGGCUCAACCGGGGAGGGUCAUUGGAAACUGGGAGACUUGAGUGCAGAAGAGGAGAGUGGAAUUCCAUGUGUAGCGGUGAAAUGCGUAGAUAUAUGGAGGAACACCAGUGGCGAAGGCGGCUCUCUGGGCUGUAACUGACGCUGAGGCUCGAAAGCGUGGGGAGCAAACAGG
rnacentral:rRNA from 1 species